GGGGAAAAAAGCUUAAUAUAAUAUAUAAUAUGUGUGUAAUUUCUCACACCACUUAAGCCUCAAGCUUAAGUCGGUUAAGGGAGAGAGUAUAAAAUCUGGGGUAUCCGGUGGACACCCCUUUUUACUCUCAAACCUAUAAACAGUAAGAAGGAAAAAGGGAGAAGGAAGAAGAAGGAAGGAGAAGGAAGAAGAAGAGAGAGAAGGAGAUCACCGAACAGCAGCCUGAAUCUCUAUUGUACCUUGCGCAGCAAGCACAAGAAGAGAGAAAGAAGAAAAAGAAGAAGAGGAGGAAGAAAUCAAGAGGAAAUUGAGGUUUUGAGACAGCAACUGGGAAUUCUUUCACCUAGGGAAAUUGAAUUUGCAGUGUGGGAAUCUACCCAACUCAGAGAAGUGACUUGUCUAACACUGACUAUCAAGAUGUUGAGGCUACAUCCUUCAUGGCAGACUAAUUAUAGAUGAUGGGAACCGGUGCUGAGGCAGAUUGGACUUAGCAGUGGUUAUGAAGCUUAUGUCAGUGAGAUGUUGGGAUUUUGAUGGACUUCACUACUAUUUCAGUUCUUCCUUCUUGAUGUAUAUAUUUAUGGGAUGUGUAGUAAGUAGUAUUGUAACCUGUGGUCGUUUUCAGACAUGCAAUUUGUAUGAUGUAAUUUAUCACUUUAGUGCAUCACCAGUGAUAUUUAUAUGAUUUUAUUAAUAUACUCUGAUUUUAGUUGUGGUUUU